AUUGAACGCUGGCGGCAUGCCUUACACAUGCAAGUCGAACGGCAGCACGGGAGCAAUCCUGGUGGCGAGUGGCGAACGGGUGAGUAAAGUAUCGGAACGUGCCCAGUCGUGGGGGAUAACGUAGCGAAAGUUACGCUAAUACCGCAUACGAUCUAUGGAUGAAAGCGGGGGAUCGCAAGACCUCGCGCGAUUGGAGCGGCCGAUAUCAGAUUAGGUAGUUGGUGGGGUAAAGGCUCACCAAGCCGACGAUCUGUAGCUGGUCUGAGAGGACGACCAGCCACACUGGGACUGAGACAUGGCCCAGACUCCUACGGGAGGCAGCAGUGGGGAAUUUUGGACAAUGGGCGAAAGCCUGAUCCAGCCAUGCCGCGUGCAGGAUGAAGGCCUUCGGGUUGUAAACUGCUUUUGUACGGAACGAAAAGGUUUGGCCUAAUAAGCUGAGCUCAUGACGGUACCGUAAGAAUGAGCACCGGCUAACUACGUGCCAGCAGCCGCCGUAA
rnacentral:rRNA from 1 species